GGACCCGCACAAGCAGUGGAGCAUGUGGUUUAAUUCGACGCAACGCGAAGAACCUUACCAGCGUUUGACAUGGGAAGUGCCGGUUACAGAAUGGUAACCUUCAGUUCGGCUGGCUUCCACACAGGUGCUGCAUGGCUGUCGUCAGCUCGUGUCGUGAGAUGUUGGUUAAGUCCCGCAACGAGCGCAACCCUUAUCGUUAGUUACUAACAGUUCGGCUGAGGACUCUAGCGAAACUGCCGGUGAUAAGCCGGAGGAAGGUGGGGAUGACGUCAAGUCCUCAUGGCCCUUACACGCUGGGCUACACACGUGCUACAAUGGUAACUACAACGGGACGCAAUACCGCGAGGUGGAG
rnacentral:rRNA from 1 species